rnacentral:tRNA from 2 species
GCGUUCGUAGCUCAAUUGGAUAGAGCGUCUGACUACGGAUCAGAAGGUUAGGGGUUCGAUUCCUCUCGAGCGCGCCA